UCCCUACGGGACGCAGCAGUGGGGAAUAUUGCACAAUGGGGGAAACCCUGAUGCAGCGACGCCGCGUGAGUGAAGAAGUAUCUCGGUACGUAAAGCUCUAUCAGCAGGGAAGAAAAUGACGGUACCUGACUAAGAAGCCCCGGCUAACUACGUGCCAGCAGCCGCGGUAAUACGUAGGGGGCAAGCGUUAUCCGGAUUUACUGGGUGUAAAGGGAGCGUAGACGGUUAAGUAAGUCUGGAGUGAAAGGCCGGGGCCCAACCCC
rnacentral:rRNA from 1 species